rnacentral:lncRNA from 1 species
UAUUCUUUCCCUUUCCUUUUCUCUUAUUCCCUUCCUUGACACUGCCUCUGUUAGUUUCUCUACUAGCAACCGUUGACAAAACAAAAACAAACCUGUUCCUUCCAUCAUACUUUAACAUCUCAGCACCUUUUCUCCUGGUCUGUCAUGGGAGAUUGCGAGUUACCAGGUGACCUCAUUAAUGCCAGAGCCACACACACACACAUGCAUGCACACACAGACAUGCACGCACACAUACACACACACAAAAGGGCCCAAUUGAAUCUGUAAAGUAGUUGGCAUUUGGAAGGGCUUUCAGCCGUAGAGACCAUGCCAGAACUGAGACAACGGAGCAAGAGAGUGGGUGCCGACCCGUUGGAUUCUGUCAAACUGUCCAACCCAUGCCAGCAUGGAAAGUGGACGCGUAAAAUGAUGGAUGAUGAUAAUGAUGAUGAUGUUAUGUAUAGCCAUAGAAUGAAAAAAGUUUGAGUUCAACUGAUCCCAUGAUUCCUUACCAAUGGAAGAAUGAGCUAACGAGGGGAACUUAUAUAGUCACACAAAUCAAAUCACACCCUACCAUCUAAAAAAAAAAUGGCAGUAUACUUGGGAUAAUGUAUCUUUCUCUUGGACAACAACAACAAAAAAAAAGGGAUGGUCACAGUAGGAAUAACUCAACUCUGAUUAUAAAUCUGCUGAUUCAGAGCUGACUUGGAAAAUUGUAACAAAUAAAAUACCUAGAAAGAUGUAAGAUUUCUAUCAUUUGCUCCUAUUAUAAAUGCAACAUUUACUAGUUUAUAAUGUAAGAUUUACUAUAGAAUAGAAAUGGAGUGCGUUACUAUUGUAAUACACCCCAUCGUAAUUCUGAGUUUCUCUUGUGUGGGCAUAUUCAGAGAGGAAUAUAGACUUAAACAUGGGAGUGAGAGUGUGUGUGUAUGCGUGCAUAUAUAUAUAUAUCCAGUCGCCAUGAUAGAUCGUUAGCCCCUACACACAUUUUUCUCUCUCCUUGUUUUUUUUCUGUGUCCCUUUCUGUAGAAGAGCAUAGGCUCGAAACGUAAAAGACUUUUUCUAUUCCUGAGCGUUAUACUAAUACAUCUGUUUAUUUUGUACACCACCUGUCUUCGUGUUUUGUUUUUUUUCGUGGUGUAUGUAUCAGAAAAGAUUUUGGUGUAUUAUUUAACAUAAAUUACUAAAGACAGGAGUUGUUAACAACAGUAAGAAGAACACAUAAGGACAUGUGUUGCCAUCUUAUGUUAGUGUUAGAUGGGAAAUAAAGAAACAUACAUGUGUGUGUGUCUGUGUAUGAACAAACUGUUAUGAAACUUAUGCUAAGUGUGUGUGUGUGUGUGUGUGAAUGCACGUGUGUAGGUAGGUAAUUAUUUGUGUUUAGUGUACACUAGUAUAUCACAGUAUGAUCAUGAAAGAUCCACUGAAAGGGGUUCACUUGAUUAAGUACAAAGAACAGAACUGAAAUGUUACCUAGUGGUGAAAGUAAAAAACCAUUGCUACCAUCCUGAUGGUAACAUGGUAUACAAGAGUGGUUCAAUUUACAGUUACAUCUCAAUGGUUACAGAGUGAAGCGUCAAACGUUCACAGCUAUCCCUCAGUGUAAGAACUCUGUGGGUGAAGAACAGAAGUAACACAGAUUUAGAUGAUGGAUUCUGAGGUUCUGAUGACCACUUGGCCAUGGCAAUGCCAUGGCAAUGAUGAUGAUGAUGAUGAUGAUGAUGAUGAUGAUGAUGAUGAUGAUGAUGAUGAUGAUGAUGAUGAUAACAGCAACAAUAACAAUAAUGGUUG